GCCUUCGUGGUGUAGUGGUAGUACGUUCGACGCAUAUCUGAGAGAUCCGUGGUUCGAUUCCCGGCGAGGACA
rnacentral:tRNA from 1 species